GAUGAACGCUAGCGACAGGCUUAACACAUGCAAGUCGAGGGGCAUCACGGGAGUAGCAAUACAACUGGUGGCGACCGGCGCACGGGUGAGUAACGCGUAUGCAACCUACCUAUCAGAGGGGAAUAACCCGGCGAAAGUCGGACUAAUACCGCAUAAAACAGGGGCACCGCAUGGUGAUAUUUGUUAAAGAAAUUCGCUGAUAGAUGGGCAUGCGUUCCAUUAGGUAGUUGGUGAGGUAACGGCUCACCAAGCCGACGAUGGAUAGGGGAACUGGGAGGUUGGGCCCCCACACUGGUACUGAGACACGGACCAGACGCGUACGGGAGGCAGCAGUGAGGAAUAUUGGUCAAUGGGCGGGAGCCUGAACCAGCCAAGUCGCGUGAAGGAAGAAGGAUCUAUGGUUCGUAAACUUCUUUUGCAGGGGAAUAAAGUGCAGGACGUGUCCUGUUUUGUAUGUACCCUGAGAAUAAGGAUCGGCUAACUCCGUGCCAGCCGCCGCGGUAAUAC
rnacentral:rRNA from 1 species